CCCGGCCCCUGCCCGUGACACUAAUAACUUGGGAAUUAACUAGGAGAAGAGCCUGGCAUGUGCAGGACCCACCCAAGAAGAACUGUCCCAGAAGAGAGGUGCUAGCUAGGUGAAGACAUACGACUCUGAGCACCACUUCCUAAUUCUAACGGAGGGAGAGUCUGGCAUGGAGCCAGGAAACAGAAAAGGCAUGAAAGGAAGAACUAAUCUGGAGCUGGCAAAAUGUGAUUAACAUUUAAAUCAGUGGACUUUGAGAAAAGCAGAUCACCCUUCAUGAUGUGGGUGGACUCAAAGGACAAAGCAUUGAGCCAAAGAGGAUCAUUCUCAAGCCUUAAAAUCUAAUGGAAUUUACUGUUAGGUUUCAAGCUUUCUUGGGACACAUGACCCUUUUUCCUUCUGAUUUCUCCCUUUUGGAAUGGGAAGGUCUGUCCUUCGACUACCCCACCAUCAUGUUUUGGAAGCAGGGGUGACCUGGACACAGACACACACGUACCAGAGAACAUCAUGUGAAGACUGGAGCUACGCUGUCACAAUCCAAGGAACUACUUGAAGCUAACAGAGAGUCAUGGGACCGAUUCUUCCCCAGGGCCUUCAGAGGGAGCUUGGCUCCCCCAACACCUCAGUGUCAGAAUUCU